rnacentral:rRNA from 1 species
GAUGAACGCUGGCGGCGUGCCUAAUACAUGCAAGUCGAGCGAACAGACGAGGAGCUUGCUCCUCUGACGUUAGCGGCGGACGGGUGAGUAACACGUGGAUAACCUACCUAUAUGACUGGGAUAACUUCGGGAAACCGGAGCUAAUACCGGAUAAUCUCUUGAACCGCAUGGUUCAAUAGUGAAAGACGGUUUUGCUGUCACUUAUAGAUGGAUCCGCGCCGCAUUAGCUAGUUGGUAAGGUAACGGCUUACCAAGGCAACGAUGCGUAGCCGACCUGAGAGGGUGAUCGGCCACACUGGAACUGAGACACGGUCCAGACUCCUACGGGAGGCAGCAGUAGGGAAUCUUCCGCAAAGGGCGAAAGCCUGACGGAGCAACGCCGCGUGAGUGAUGAAGGUCUUCGGAUCGUAAAACUCUGUUAUUAGGGAAGAACAAAUGUGUAAGUAACUAUGCACGUCUUGACGGUACCUAAUCAGAAAGCCACGGCUAACUACGUG